AUGCCAAGAAAUCGACCUGGACCAUAUCCUGGAGCCUUUCGCUGGAGCACGCGUUACCUUCCCGAUCACUUACCUUGGUCUCCCAAUCACCUUAGAAAGUUCCUCUGGGCGCAAGAAGAAAACCUUACGGGUGGCAAGAGCAAGGUCAGUUGGCGCCAAGUGUGCUCUCCAGUAGAGCUGGGCGGCCUUGGGAUCCAUGAUAUUCAGAAGUUCGCCAGAGCGCUUCGUCUACGUUGGCUGUGGCUGUCUUGGGCAGAACCAAACAGGCCUUGGGUUGGCUCGGCCAUCCCAUGCGAUGAGCGGGACCGAGCCCUUUUUGCCGCUGCCACAACUGUCAGGAUUGGCGACGGCAAAACUGCUCUUUUCUGGGAAUCAACAUGGAUGGGGCCGCUCCCUUUGCGUAAAAUAGCCCCGGCGCUG
rnacentral:rRNA from 1 species